AAUACAUGCAAGUCGACGGACCGACGGGAGCUUGCUCCCUUAGGUCAGCGGCGGACGGGUGAGUAACACGUGGGUAACCUGCCUGUAAGACUGGGAUAACUCCCGGGAAACCGGGGCUAAUACCGGAUGCUUGAUUGAACCGCAUGGUUCCAAUCAUAAAAGGUGGCUUUUAGCUACCACUUACAGAUGGACCCGCGGCGCAUUAGCUAGUUGGUGAGGUAACGGCUCACCAAGGCGACGAUGCGUAGCCGACCUGAGAGGGUGAUCGGCCACACUGGGACUGAGACACGGCCCAGACUCCUACGGGAGGCAGCAGUAGGGAAUCUUCCGCAAUGGACGAAAGUCUGACGGAGCAACGCCGCGUGAGUGAUGAAGGUUUUCGGAUCGUAAAACUCUGUUGUUAGGGAAGAACAAGUACCGUUCGAAUAGGGCGGCACCUUGACGGUACCUAACCAGAAAGCCACGGCUAACUACGUGCCAGCAGCCGCGGUAAUACGUAGGUGGCAAGCGUUGUCCGGAAUUAUUGGGCGUAAAGCGCGCGCAGGCGGUUUCUUAAGUCUGAUGUGAAGCCCCCGGCUCAACCGGGGAGGGUCAUUGGAAACUGGGGAACUUGAGUGCAGAAGAGGAGAGUGGAAUUCCACGUGUAGCGGUGAAAUGCGUAGAGAUGUGGAGGA
rnacentral:rRNA from 1 species